GCACAGCGCCCCCAACCUGUCUGACUUGCACAUCGUCCGCCCCAAGCUGCCCAAACCCCCCACGGACCCCCUGGGAGCCGUGUUCAGCCCACCACAGGCCAGCCCUCCCCAGCCAUCCCACGGGCUGCAGUCCUGCCGGAACCUGCGGGGCUCACCCAAGCUCCCUGACUUCCUGCAGCGGAACCCCCUGCCCCCCAUCCUGGGCUCCCCCACCAAGGUAAUGGGCACUGCCAUGUGUGCAGGGGCACAGGGCCCUGGGGAAGAUGGGUGGGAGUGGCCAGUCCUGAACAAAGACCGAGGAAGGCAGCUCUGUACCUUUUGACCCCACCUGGGCUCACGCUCAGGCCACUCCCACAUGCCUGCCGGUUCCUGCGGACUCGGCCCCUGCCCCAGGCACUGGGCCCCAGGGCUGCAGACCUGCGGGGCAGUCUUCACCCCAUCUCUGUCCUCCUAGGCUGUGCCCUCCUUCGACUUCCCAAAGACCCCCAGCUCCCAGAACCUGCUGGCCCUCCUAGCCCGGCAGGGCGUGGUGAUGACGCCCCCUCGAACCCGGACGCUGCCCGACCUGUCUGAGGUGGGGCCCUUCCAUGGUCAGCCACUGGGCCCUGGCCUGCGGCCAGGCGAGGACCCCAAGGGUCCCUUUGGCCGAUCUUUCAGCACCAGCCGCCUCACUGACCUGCUCCUUAAGGCGGCGUUUGGGACACAAGCCCCGGACCCGGGCAGCACGGAGAGCCUGCAGGAGAAGCCCAUGGAAAUCGCACCCUCAGCUGGCUUUGGAGGGAGCCUGCACCCAGGAGCCCGUGCUGGGGGCGCCAGCAGCCCCUCCCCGGUGGUCUUCACCGUGGGCUCUCCCCCGAGCGGGAGUACGCCGCCCCAGGGCCCCCACACCAGGAUGUUCUCAGUGGGCUCCACUGGCUCUGCUGGCUCUUCUGCCCGUCACCUGGUGCCUGGGGCCUGCAGCGAGGCCCCAGCCCCUGAGCUCCCUGCUCCAGGACACGGCUGCAGCUUUGCCGACCCCAUUGCUGUGAACCUGGAGGGGGCUGUGACCUUCGAGGCCCCCGACCUCCCUGAGGAGACCCUCAUGGAGCAAGAGCACACCGAGAUCCUGCGUGGCCUGCGCUUCACGCUGCUGUUCGUGCAGAACAUCUUGGAGAUUGCAGCCCUGAAGGGCAGCGCCAGCGAGGCGGCGGGGGGCCCUGAGUACCAGCUGCAGGAGAGUGUGGUGGCCGACCAGAUCAGCCUGCUGAGCCGAGAAUGGGGG
rnacentral:sRNA from 1 species